UUAACACCUGCACUACUUUGACGUUACCUACAGAAGAAGCACCGGCUAACUCCGUGCCAGCAGCCGCGGUAAUACGGAGGGUGCGAGCGUUAAUCGGAAUUACUGGGCGUAAAGCGCAUGCAGGCGGCCUGUUAAGUCAGAUCGUGAAAGCCCCGGGGCUUAACCUCGGAAUUGCAUUUGAAACUGGCAGGCUAGAGUCUUGUAGAGGGGGUAGAAUUUCAGGUGUAGCGGUGAAAUGCGUAGAGAUCUGAAGGAAUACCAGUGGCGAAGGCGGCCCCCUGGACAAAGACUGACGCUCAGAGUUCGCGUAAAGCGUGGGGAAGCAAACCAGGAUUAGAUACCCUCGGUAG
rnacentral:rRNA from 1 species